rnacentral:rRNA from 1 species
CAGUCGCCACGGUAAUACGUAGGUGGCAAGCGUUGUCCGGAAUUAUUGGGCGUAAAGCGCGCGCAGGCGGAUCAGUCAGUCUGUCUUAAAAGUUCGGGGCUUAACCCCGUGAUGGGAUGGAAACUGCUGAUCUAGAGUAUCGGAGAGGAAAGUGGAAUUCCUAGUGUAGCGGUGAAAUGCGUAGAUAUUAGGAAGAACACCAGUGGCGAAGGCGACUUUCUGGACGAAAACUGACGCUGAGGCGCGAAAGCCAGGGGAGCGAACGGGAUUAGAUACCCCUGUAGUCCCUGUCUCUUAUACA